AUUGAUUGGUGCUUGCAUCAUGAUUUACAUUUGAGUGAGUGGCGAACUGGUGAGUAACACGUGGGAAACCUGCCCAGAAGCGGGGGAUAACACCUGGAAACAGAUGCUAAUACCGCAUAACAACUUGGACCGCAUGGUCCGAGCUUGAAAGAUGGCUUCGGCUAUCACUUUUGGAUGGUCCCGCGGCGUAUUAGCUAGAUGGUGGGGUAACGGCUCACCAUGGCAAUGAUACGUAGCCGACCUGAGAGGGUAAUCGGCCACAUUGGGACUGAGACACGGCCCAAACUCCUACGGGAGGCAGCAGUAGGGAAUCUUCCACAAUGGACGAAAGUCUGAUGGAGCAACGCCGCGUGAGUGAAGAAGGGUUUCGGCUCGUAAAACUCUGUUGUUAAAGAAGAACAUAUCUGAGAGUAACUGUUCAGGUAUUGACGGUAUUUAACCAGAAAGCCACGGCUAACUACGUGCCAGCAGCCGCGGUAAUACGUAGGUGGCAAGCGUUGUCCGGAUUUAUUGGGCGUAAAGCGAGCGCAGGCGGUUUUUUAAGUCUGAUGUGAAAGCCUUCGGCUCAACCGAAGAAGUGCAUCGGAAACUGGGAAACUUGAGUGCAGAAGAGGACAGUGGAACUCCAUGUGUAGCGGUGAAAUGCGUAGAUAUAUGGAAGAACACCAGUGGCGAAGGCGGCUGUCUGGUCUGUAACUGACGCUGAGGCUCGAAAGUAUGGGUAGCAAACAGGAUUAGAUACCCUGGUAGUCCAUACCGUAAACGAUGAAUGCUAAGUGUUGGAGGGUUUCCGCCCUUCAGUGCUGCAGCUAACGCAUUAAGCAUUCCGCCUGGGGAGUACGGCCGCAAGGCUGAAACUCAAAGGAAUUGACGGGGGCCCGCACAAGCGGUGGAGCAUGUGGUUUAAUUCGAAGCUACGCGAAGAACCUUACCAGGUCUUGACAUACUAUGCAAAUCUAAGAGAUUAGACGUUCCCUUCGGGGACAUGGAUACAGGUGGUGCAUGGUUGUCGUCAGCUCGUGUCGUGAGAUGUUGGGUUAAGUCCCGCAACGAGCGCAACCCUUAUUAUCAGUUGCCAGCAUUAAGUUGGGCACUCUGGUGAGACUGCCGGUGACAAACCGGAGGAAGGUGGGGAUGACGUCAAAUCAUCAUGCCCCUUAUGACCUGGGCUACACACGUGCUACAAUGGAUGGUACAACGAGUUGCGAACUCGCGAGAGUAAGCUAAUCUCUUAAAGCCAUUCUCAGUUCGGAUUGUAGGCUGCAACUCGCCUACAUGAAGUCGGAAUCGCUAGUAAUCGCGGAUCAGCAUGCCGCGGUGAAUACGUUCCCGGGCCUUGUACACACCGCCCGUCACACCAUGAGAGUUUGUAACACCCAAAGUCGGUGGGGUAACC
rnacentral:rRNA from 1 species